rnacentral:rRNA from 1 species
GUGGGGAAUCUUGCGCAAUGGGCGAAAGCCUGACGCAGCCAUGCCGCGUGAAUGAUGAAGGUCUUAGGAUUGUAAAAUUCUUUCACCGGGGACGAUAAUGACGGUACCCGGAGAAGAAGCCCCGGCUAACUUCGUGCCAGCAGCCGCGGUAAUACGAAGGGGGCUAGCGUUGCUCGGAAUUACUGGGCGUAAAGGGCGCGUAUGCGGACAGUUUAGUCAGAGGUGAAAGCCCAGGGCUCAACCUUGGAAUUGCCUUUGAUACUGGCUGUCUUGAGUACGGGAGAGGUGAGUGGAACUCCGAGUGUAGAGGUGAAAUUCGUAGAUAUUCGGAAGAACACCAGUGGCGAAGGCGACUCACUGGCCCGUUACUGACGCUGAGGCGCGAAAGCGUGGGGAGCAAACAGGAUUAGAAACCCGGGUAGUCC